CCUACGGGAGGCAGCAGUGGGGAAUAUUGGACAAUGGGGGCAACCCUGAUCCAGCCAUGCCGCGUGUGUGAAGAAGGCCCUCGGGUUGUAAAGCACUUUCAGUGAGGAAGAACGCCUGGUGGUUAAUACCCAUCAGGAAAGACAUCACUCACAGAAGAAGCACCGGCUAACUCCGUGCCAGCAGCCGCGGUAAUACGGAGGGUGCGAGCGUUAAUCGGAAUUACUGGGCGUAAAGCGCGCGUAGGUGGCUUGAUAAGCCGGUUGUGAAAGCCCCGGGCUCAACCUGGGAACGGCAUCCGGAACUGUCAAGCUAGAGUGCAGGAGAGGAAGGUAGAAUUCCCGGUGUAGCGGUGAAAUGCGUAGAGAUCGGGAGGAAUACCAGUGGCGAAGGCGGCCUUCUGGACUAACACUGACACUGAGGUGCGAAAGCGUGGGUAGCAAACAGGAUUAGAUACCCUAGUAGUC
rnacentral:rRNA from 1 species